CUGAAAGGCACAGCCAAUCACAUUGCCAUAUUUGUCACAUGACGUAGGACUCCAGUAGAGAACGUAAUUGAACUCUUUCUGCACCGCUGGGUGAAUGAGAUGUCGACAGAUCGUUUUUUUUUCUUUCUAUUGGGUUUGUUUUUCUUUACUCGAAGCGAUCAAAUUAUUGGUGGGGACAAUUCAAUAAUCGCUGAAUAUUGGUGGUCCAUGCCAAAUCUACGCCCUUGCAUGAUUUGAAUCCUGGGUUGAGCGAAAUCCAAGAAAUAAAGACAAAGCGAAUCUGUGAACUAAGGUGUAGGAAAGAAAAGUUCAAAGCCAUCAGGUGCUCAGUUUAGAAAAAAGAGAAAAGAAGAGGAGGAGAAACGAGCAACAGAUACAGUUUGCAAAGAUCACAGAGGGAAUCAUGACGUCACACGGCUGUUUUCUCUGCCUGUUGCUUUUUAGUGUAAUCCCGAUCGAGCCAUCAGAAGCAGGUUGUAUGGACCACUUCACAAAAAAAGACUGGAAUACAACUACACUACACAGGCUGCCAGAGAAUAUUACCGUCAAAAUAAUGAACAAGUCUGAGGACAUCAUUGUAUGUAGUUUAACGGAAGCCAAAGACUGUGCUAACAGCAAAACAGAAAAUACCUGCUUUCUACGGGACUGUUUUAAGGACGAGAAUAACAUGGGCUAUAAACCGCCAUGUAACGAGGCGGAUGAGAACAUCAGUGUCCCUUUCUACCACUUCAUGUGCUUGACAAAUAUAGCCAAGGGUCUACGAGACAAAACAAAUGGAGGAUCACAAAAACCCACUGCAGAAGACAUCUGUAAAGUGUACGAAAAAGUGUGUAAGCGAGAUUCUCCCAACCCAGCAGCAAAAACGACAACACCAACAGCCUGUACUGCUACAACAGCAACCACAGAAGCAACAACAAAUAAGACGACAGCGACACCUUCUGCAACAACAACCACAGAAGCAACAACAAAUAAGACGACAGCGACACCUUCUGCAACAGCAACCACAGAAGCAACAACAAAUAAGACGACAGCGACACCUUCUGCAACAGCAACAACCACAGAAGCAACAACAAAUAAGACGACAGCGACACCUUCUGC
ensembl:lncRNA